rnacentral:rRNA from 1 species
GACGAACGCUGGCGGCAGGCCUAACACAUGCAAGUCGAACGAGUGGCGGACGGGUGAGUAAUGUCUGGGAAACUGCCCGAUGGAGGGGGAUACCUACUGGAAACGGUAGCUAAUACCGCAUACCAUCGGAUGUGCCCAGAUGGGAUUAGCUAGUAGGUGGGGUAACGGCUCACCUAGGCGACGAUCCCUAGCUGGUCUGAGAGGGUGACCAGCAACACUGGAACUGAGACACGGCCCAGACUCCUACGGGAGGCAGCGGUGGGGAAUAUUGCACAAUGGGCGCAAGCCUGAUACAGCCAUGCCGCGUGUGGGAAGAAGGCCUUCGGGUUGUAAAGCACUUUCAGCGAGGAGGCGUUACUCGCAGAAGAAGCACCGGCUAACUCCGUGCCAGCAGCCGCGGUAAUAC